rnacentral:lncRNA from 1 species
GAACGGUGCGCCAAGACGUCAACGUGCUCGCUGUGCGUCGGCACGCAGGUCCCGCCUCCUGAGGACGGGUGAGUUCGCUGCUACCUGAGAUAGUGGUCGGGAGAGUUUGAGGGUUUGCGAAAGAGUUUACUGAUCGAUCCGAAUAAAAGUGAAAUGUGUGGUCGGGCGCGGUGGCCCACGCCUGUAAUCCCAGCACUGUGUGAGGCGGGGGCGAGCGGAUCACCUGGGGUCAGGAGUUCGAGACCAGCCUGGCCAACAUGGCGAAACCCCGUCUCAAUUAAAAAUACAAACAUUAGCCGGGCAUGGUGGCGGGCGCCUGUAAUCCCAGCUACUCGCCUGUAAUCCCAGCUGAGGAAGGAAAAUCGCUAGAACCCGGGAGGCGGAGGCUGCAGUGAGCCGAGAUCUUGCCAUUGCACUCCAGCCUGGGCGACAAGAGCGAAACUCCGUCUCAAAAAAAGAAAGAAAAUAAAAAGUGAAAUGUGGAUGUAACAACGCACUUUUAAAAAAAGUCUAAACAUCUGAGGAAUGUGUCUGUGCUUGCAGUGUCCAGCCAGCACAGAGACUGCACUCAAGGGAUGUGGGAACGGCUGAUUGAACGUGAACUGCGGUCAUUAAAUCUUUUAUGUCUGUGUUAAUAUCUACAAAUAAGCCUUAAUUUCUGUAGUUUCUGCAUAUCUCACACGGUUCCUGGCAAAUUGAAGAGUGUUUCAUGAAUUCAGGACUUUAUUGUGUUUGCUGUGAAUCAGUUUGUUUUGUACUGACGAUGAUGUUGGCUAACUCCCUUGUAACUAGUACUUAUUUGAAAUAAUGUCCUCGGGAUUAUUUUAAGCAAUGUUUAAGUAUGAAAUCAUUUCAUUCUCCUAACAUCUCAAGGAAUAUACUAUUAUAUUCUACUUUACAAAAGGGGAAACUGAGGAACGGGGAAGUUAAGUGGAAGCUAAGUGGAAGAAUCCAGAUAAUUGACCUCUCCUUCUAUUGGUAUGCAAUUGCUAGAGCAAUGAUAGUCCUCCGGUAGAGCCUUAGACAUUGUGUUUAUUGCAUUCCUGUUCCACCCACUGCAUUCCGGAUACUCCAACUUACUUCCAACACACAUAUGCAGGCGUCUCUAAAAUUCCGGAGAUAUGGUCACCAAUUAUUUUUAUGUGCGACAUGCUCAAAUCUUAAUAUAGUAAACGCUUGUAUAUUCAUAAACCAGCUUAAUAAAUGAAACAUUACCAUUCCUGUUGAAGAGCUUUGUGUAACCACCUUCCCAAUCACGACUACUCUCUGACUCUGAGAUAACUGCUCUUCUGAACUUGGUAUUCAUCGUUGCAAUUAUGUGUGGAUAUUUCAAGUGGCGUGAACUCACAGAAGAAUAUUGUAUCUUGGACAAUGUUACCAUAACCUUUUCAAACGUAUUUGCAAACUUGACAAACUUGGUGUAAGCUUUUUCACUUUUGAAAACGUUUUGAACUUGUGGAAGAAUUUCUAUGGGGAAAGAGAGAAAUAUACUUUGGAAUUCAACUAUUGCUAUCACAGUGUUGGGAAAUUCACUGACACCAGUUUGUAACUUGAAUCUACAGGAAGAAAUGAAGAGAGCCAAAAAUGACAACAAAUGGAUUAACCCAACGAACUCCAUAAAUAUUUAUUUUUUCCCCUUUCUUUUCUCAGCUUCUUUAAAAGAUGUAAGAUGAUAUAAAGUAAUAAUAAUAACAAUGUACUGUUGGAUAUGUAAGAUAUAUAAAUGUAAUAAUGGCAAAAAUGGUGGGAGGGCGUCAGGCGUCAUGGCUCAUGCCUGUAAUCUCAGAACUUUGGGAGGCUGAGGCAGGCAGAACACUUGAGCCCAGGAGUUCAAGACCAGCCUAAGCAACAUGGGGAGACCCUGUCUUUCCAAAAAUACAAAAAUUAGCCCAACAUGGUGGCGUACACCAGUAGUCUCAGCUACUUGGGAGGUGGGAGGAUUGCUUGAGCCUAGGAGGUUGAGGCUGCAGUGAGCCAUGAUUGUGCCACUGCACUCCAACCUGGGUGACAGAGUGAGAUCUUGUCUUUAAAAAAAAAAUGGUGGGAGAGAAUGGAGCCAUAUAGAAUACAGUUUCUAUAUUUCACUGGAAUGAAGUUAGUAUAAAUCUAAAGUAGAUUCUGAUAAGAUGAAUACCAUAAGCUUUAGGGCAACUAUUAACUAAAGAAAUACAAUUAGAGAUUAUUAACACAAUUACAUGUUACACUAGAAAAUAUCCACUCAAUAUAAAAGGAAACAGGAAAGGAAGAAUACAGGAACAAUAAUAAAGAAACCUGUAGAAAACAAAAGGCAAAUGACAGACAUAAAUCCUACCAUAUCAAUAGCAAAAUUAAAUGUGAAUGCAUAAACAAUUGAAUCAAAAUGCAGAUAUUGUCAAACUGGAUUUUUAAAAGAUCAAAAUAUAUGUUAUCUGUAGAAGACACACAUUACAUUCAAAGAUACAAAUAUAUUCUAAGUAAAAGGGUGAAAAAAUAUAUAUCAGGCAAGUGGCCAAAAUAAGAAUGCUGGAAUUGCUAUACUAAUACCAGAAAAACAUAGAUUUUAAAAUGAAAAAUAUUAUUAGCUAUAAAGAGGAACAUUUUAUAAUUAAAGAAGAUCACUCCAUCAGGAAACACAAAAAUUGUAAACAUAUAUGCACAUAAUAAGACAGUACCAAAAUACAUGAAGACCACUAACAGAAUAGAAGGAUGAAAUAGAUAAUUCAAUAUUAGUUGAGGACGUCAAUAUACCACCGUUAGGGCUAGGCAUGGUAGCUCACACCUGUAAUCCCAGAGAUGUGAAAGGCCGAGAUGGGAGGGUUGCUUGAGGUCAGGAUUUGGAGACCAACCUGGGCAAUAUAGUGUCAUCUCAUCUCUUAAAAAAAAAAAAAAAGCCAGGUGUGGUGGUGUGUACCUGUAGUCCUAGCUAGUAGGAAGGCUGAGGCAGGAAGAUUACUUGAGCCCAGGAGUUCAAGGCUGCCACUACACACCAGCCGGAGUGACAGAAUGUGACCCUGUCUCUAAAUAAAUAAAUAAAAUAAAAAUUAAAAAUACACCGCUGUAAAUAGAUGAUAGAUCAAGUAGGCAGAAGAUUAACAAGGUUAUAAAAGACUUGAACAACACAAUAAAUUAACUAGACCUAGCAAACAUUUAUAGAACGCUCAACCCAACAAUAGCAAAAUAUUCUUCUCAAGUGCAUAUAAAACUUUCUCCAGGAUAGAUCAUAUGCUAGGUCUUUAAAAAAGAUAUUGAAACCCUCAUACAUUGCUGGUGGAAAUGUAAAAUGGUGCAGCCAUUUUGCAGGACAGUUUGAGGGUUCCUCAAAAUGUUAAACAUAGACUUACCCUGACCCAUCAUUUCAACAGCUGGAUGUAUACUCAAGAAAAAUAAAAACCUGUGUCCACACAAAAACAUAUACAAAGAUGUUCAUGGAAGUGUAUUUAUAAUACCAAAAAGUGGAAAUAACCCAAGUGUCAAUCUACUGAUGAAUAAACAAAAUCUAUCAAUGAAAUAUUAUUCAGCCAUAAAAAGAAAAUAAAGUGUUGAUAUAAGUGACAGCAUGGAUGACUCAUGAAAGCAUUAUGCAAAGUAAAAGAAGUCACUCACUGAAGAACAUGCUAUAUGAUUCCAUGUAUAUGAAAUGCCCAGAAUAAGCAAAUUUCUAGAGACAAAAAGUAGAUGAGUGGUUGUCUAGGGCUGAGAAGGUUCCUGAGAAUGGGGAAUGAGUGUAAUGUUUUUCUUUAGGAGGAGGAUAAAAAUCUUCUAAAAUUGGAUUAUGGUAGUGGUUGCACAGCUUUGUGGAUAUAGUAAAAACCAUUGAAUUGUAUAUAUUAAAUAAAUAUAAUUAAGGUAUGUGAAUUAUAAUUCAAUAAAACUGUUAAAAUUACAAAUUUUGUGCUUUUCAAUUGGAAAAUUCAUCCAAAAUUACAAAUUCUUAAAAGAAUGCAACCUAGCUAGGAGUGGUGGUGGGCACCUGUAGUCCCAGCAACUUGGGAGGCUGAGGUGGGAGAAUCACCUGAGGCCAGG